GAGUUUGAUCAUGGCUCAGGACGAACGCUGGCGGCGUGCUUAACACAUGCAAGUCGAACGGGAGUAUUGAAGAAGCUUGCUUUAGAGAUACUUUAGUGGCGGACGGGUGAGUAACGCGUGAGGAGCUGUCCUAUGCAGGGGGACAACAGCUGGAAACGGCUGCUAAUACCCCAUAAGCCGAGAGGUAAAAGGAUCAAUCCGGCAGAGGAGGUACUCGCGUCCUAUCAGCUAGUAGGUGAGGUAACGGCUCACCUAGGCGAAGACGGGUAGCCGGCCUGAGAGGGCGAACGGCCACACUGGAACUGAGAUACGGUCCAGACUCCUACGGGAGGCAGCAGUGGGGAAUAUUGGGCAAUGGGGGAAACCCUGACCCAGCGACGCCGCGUGGGUGAAGAAAUCCUUCGGGAUGUAAAGCCCUGUUGUAUGGGAAGAGCGGAAGACGGUACCAUACGAGGAAGCCCCGGCAAACUACGUGCCAGCAGCCGCGGUAAUACGUAGGGGGCAAGCGUUGUCCGGAAUUACUGGGCGUAAAGCGCACGCAGGCUGACUUAUAAGUCGGUAGUCUAAUGCGGAGGCUCAACUUCCGUUUAUCUAUCGAUACUGUAAGACUAGAGUAUGUGAGAGGGAAGCGGAAUUCCCGGUGUAGCGGUGAAAUGCGUAGAUAUCGG
rnacentral:rRNA from 1 species